rnacentral:rRNA from 1 species
GAUGACCAAAUCACCCCGAAUUCUCCCAACCUCGUCAGAUCUCCGAAGCUAAGCAGGUUGGAGCCUGGACAGUGCUUGGAUGGGCGACCACCGUGUACAGCUGCGCACAAACACCA